rnacentral:misc_RNA from 1 species
AGUUAUAGAGAGAUCGGGAGUAGUAACAGCUACACAAGUCUUGUUAUCUGCGCUAGUAGGCUUUGAAACUCCUCCGUUUGUGAGUUCAACGAGUUUACCUACACAAGCCUUCAACUCAGUCAUCCAUGGUUCUGAAAUAGGAUGGGACUUCACAGCAGGUUGUUGAGGAAGUUUUGAAAAUACAGGCAUUGAUGCUUGGCUGACAUAAUCACUUUCUGAUGCAGUGCAUGUUUGACGUUCAAUAUCAUCUAACCCCAAUGGCAACAAG